GGGGGCGUUUUGGCUUCGACGGGGGUAAUGAUGGGUUUGGUAAGCGAGUCGAGGGAAGCAUGGCGCCUCGUAAAUAAAGUAUGCAUUAAAUGUAAACGCAGAAGAUAAUUUCGCGUUAGCAGCGUAGUCUGCUCGUCCUACCUUUGAGUCCCACGACUUAGGCUAGGGCGUCAAAAAGUGGGGAACCGAGCUAUACAAAGCUUUGAGUAUAGAACGGAAUAAAUGAAGCUACUGAAGAGUAAAGCCUGUCUAUGGGCGUUACUUGGAGGGAAUGUUAAAAUAUAGACUACACUCGUAGAAAGCUAAGCUGGUCUGCUUUCGGACAGGGGUUCGAUACCCCUCGCCUCCACCA
rnacentral:tmRNA from 1 species